UUGAAAUGGAUAUAACAAUUGAAUUUAUAAGAUUAUUGUAAGCAUUGAAGUCAACGCAGAGUGGCAAGCACUUAACACAGUGCUUGAAACAUAAUAAAAGACUUAUAUGAUAUACAUAUGUAUUUAUGUAUACACCCAUGUGACUACCACUCUGAUCAAAAUAAAGAACAUUUCCAUCACCCCAAAAGUUCUGUCAGCCCCUUUCAGUCAGUUUCUACCUUCAAUGUUUAAGUCAUUGGCCAUUGAUGCUUAACUCAGUCUCCAGCUUCUCUCCCCUCCGCAGAAGACUAGGGUAAGGCUGAAAGUUCCAACCAUCUAAUUACAUGGUUGGUCCUUCCAGCAACCAACUCCCAUCCUAAAGCUAUGUAGAGGCCCACUGAGACUCACCUUAUUAGCAGAAAGUCAGGCACGAUUGAAAGAGGCUUGUUUCAAAUAGCAAAGGACAGUCCUGUUACGGCUGUCACUCAGGAAGUUCCAAGGUUUUGUUUUUGUUUUGAGAAGCUCUGCAUCAGGGACCUGGGACAAAUACCAAAUACAUAUUUCUUAUUAUAAUCUCUCCCUUGUACUUACACCUUUCUAUUCCUCAAUCCCAAUUCCCUUGGUCAGGCAGGUUCAUUUUUCAUGAGGAACCGUCUGUUGA
rnacentral:lncRNA from 10 species